rnacentral:rRNA from 1 species
UACAGAGGGUGCGAGCGUUAAUCGGAAUUACUGGGCGUAAAGCGUGCGCAGGCAGUUUUGUAAGCCAGAUGUGAAAUCCCCGGGCUCAACCUGGGAAUGGCAUUUGGGACUGCAAGGCUUGAGUGCGGCAGAGGAGACUGGAAUUCCUGGUGUAGCAGUGAAAUGCGUAGAUAUCAGGAGGAAUACCGAUGGCGAAGGCAGGUCUCUGGGCUGACACUGACGCUCAUGCACGAAAGCGUGGGGAGCAAACAGG